GGCUUUCAGGGUCACAACUGUAGCUCCGCCCUGCAGUUUUAUCCAAUGGUAAGCUUUAAAUAAAUUGUUUUUAUACAUUGUUGAAAUGAGGAAGGGAAUGGGAAAAAUUCAACCACAAUAAAGGAAAUGGUUAAGUCCUUUAAGACUGGUACAAAGUACUAUAGAGUUUAGAAGAGAGAGAGGUUACAAAAGAAUCUGGAUAUUAAUUAACAUUCAUUAUAUAACAUUCAUUAACAUUAACAUUCCAAGCCAGUCUCCUUUCACAAUCAGGGAUAUAGGCCUGUAAUUUUCUUUUCUUAUAGUGUCCUUGUCUGGCUUCGGUAUCAGGGUAAUGUUGGCUUCAUAAAAUGAGUUUGGAAGUAUUUCCUGUUCAACUUUUUGGAAGAGUUUGAGGAUUGUUAUUAGCUCUUCUUUAAAUGUUUGGUAGAAUUCCACUAUGAAGUCAUCUGUUCCUGGCUUUUCUUUGAUGGGAGACUAAUUAGAUUCUAUGUCCUUACUUGUUGGUCUGCUCAGAUUUUCUAUUUCUUCCUGAUUUAGUCUUGAAUCAAGACUUGGUAGGUUGUAUGUUUCUAGGAAUUUAUCCAUUCCUUCUAAGUUAUCCAAUUUGUAGGCAUAGUUAGUAGUAGUUGAUAGUAAAGAAAGUAAACCCUGAGCUGGUCCAUGAAGAAUAGGCAGGUUUCUCACAACCUUUCCUUAAGAAAGGUUGCUCCAUGAGGGAAGCAUAUGUGCCAAGGCAAGGUGCAAAAAUUAAGAAGAGGCAUGUUUAAGAAAUAUACAUAAGGAAAUAAUGAAAAAUAAAACUGAAAAGUUUGGAACAAUAUUUGUAAAAACUUAAAAAUGAGGAAUCUAGGCUUAGUCAGAUACACAGCGGGGAAACUGUACAUUAUUUUGACCAAAACUGUAACACAUUUAAGCUUAGGAAAAGUAAUUUGGCAGGAUGGAUAAUAAGGGAGAAAGUGAAGCUGAGUGUAGGAAGACUAGGUUGGUAUGAGAACAAAAACAGAUGUAUAAGAACAAACAAAGGACAAAAGGCAGACCUGUCAAUGUAUUAACUGAACGUGAGGAAAAAUUCACAUGAAAAUUACCAUAGGAAAAAAGUUUGCUUAGUAAGAAAUAAAUUCAGAUGAAUACAAUGCAAACAGUAAACAUUUUAAAUAAAUUUAAACAGAGUUGAUUACAGUAGCCCCUCUGUAUCCAUGGGUUCCGCAUCUAUGGAUUCAACCAACCAUGGAUUAAAAAAAAACAACAACAACAAAUCUACAAAGUUUCAAAAAGCAAAGCUUGAAUUUACCAUGUGCUAAUACUAUGUUAAAUCCACACAAAUGAAGUUAUGUGUAGGCACUGUAUUAGGUAUUAUAAGUAAUCUAGAAAUUAUUUCAAGUAUGCAGGAGGAUGUCCAUAGGUUGUAGGCAAACACUACACCAUUUUAUAUAAGAGACUUGAGCAUUCACAGGUUUUGGUAACCUCAGAGGGUCCUGGAACCAAUCCCCACAGAUACCACAGGUCGACUGCAUUUAAAGUGGCAUAGGGUACUUUGAAAAAUAAACAAAAUUGAUAAACCUUUAUCCAGACUAAGAAAAAAAGAAUGUUAAAAUAAGUAAACUCAGAAAUGAAAGUGGAGCCACUACAACUGAUACUACAAAAUGCCAAGGAUCAUAAGAGACUAUUAUUAAAAAUUAUACAUCUACAAGUUGGGUAACUCAGGAGAAAUGGAUAAAUUCCUAGAAACAAACAAUCUAGCAAGACUGAAUCCAGAAGAAAACAGAAAACCUGAACAAAGAAGAAGAUUGAAUGAAUAAUAAAAAAAUCUCCCAUCAAAGAGAAGCCCAAGAUCAGAUGGCUGCAUGGCAGAAUUCUACCAAACAUUUAAAGAGGAACUAAUACCAAUCCUUCUCAAACUCUUCCAAAAUUUUGAAGGAGGAAUACUUCCAAACUCACUUUAUGAGACCAGAACUACCCUGAGAUGAAAACCUAACAAGGACAUUACAAAAAAAGAAAAAUUACAGGCCAAUAUCCCUGAUAAACAUCAAUGCAAAAAUCUUCAACAAAAUACCAGCAAACUAAAUUCAACAGCAUAUUAAACAGAUCAUUCACCAUGAUCAAGUGGGAUUUAUCCCUGGGAUGCAAGAAUGGGCCAACAUAUGCAAAUCAAUAAAUAUAACAUACCAUAUUAACAAGAGUGCAGCACAAAAACCAUUUGAUCAUUUCAAUAGAUGCAGAAAAAGCAUUUGAAAAAUUCAACAGCAUUUCACGGUAAAAACACUCAACAAAUUAGGCAUAGAGGGAACGUACCUCAACACAAUUAAGGCCAUAUAUGAAACGCCCACAGCUAACCUCAUACUUAAUAGUGAAAACCUGACAGCUAUUUUUUUUUUUUUUUGAGAUGGAGUCUCGCUCUGUCAACCGGGCUAGAGUGCAAUGGAGCAAUCUUGGCUCACUGCAAGCUCCACCUCCCAGGUUCCGGC
rnacentral:lncRNA from 10 species